AGGUGAUGACAUAAUAAUCAUGCUCAAUAGGAUUACUCUGAGGCCC
rnacentral:snoRNA from 1 species